AUGAAUAAAUCAUUUCAAAUAAGCUUAAACUUGUUCCAUAAGACAAUAUUGAAGCAAUUCCAAUCUCAAUCACCUUCAAUCAGCAUUGAAAUAAUUCAAUCAAAAUUUAAGUCCUUCACCCUAAUUUCAAACUCUAAAAGCAGUCGAGUUUCACAGAAUAGAGGCACCUAUUUUUUGAAACCUGAAUUCUGA